rnacentral:rRNA from 1 species
CGUAGGGGCAAGCGUUGUCCGGAAUCAUUGGGCGUAAAGCGCGCGUAGGCGGCCCGAUAAGUCUGCUGUAAAAAGUCAACAGCUCAACUGUUGAAAGCCGGUGGAUACUGUCGGGCUAGAGUCCGGAAGAGGCAAGUGGAAUUCCUGGUGUAGCGGUGGAAUGCGCAGAUAUCAGGAGGAACACCCAUAGCGAAGGCAGCUUGCUGGGACGGUACUGACGCUAAGGCGCGAAAGCGUGGGGAGCGAACAGGAUU